rnacentral:tRNA from 1 species
GUCAGGAUGGCCGAGCGGUCUAAGGCGCCAGACUCAAGGUUAUGUUCCUUCUCAGCUAAGCUGAGUGGUGUGAGGCUUCUGGUCCUCUCUGAGGGCGUGGGUUCGAAUCCCACUUCUGACA